GGACUACUGGGGUAUCUAAUCCCGUUUGCUCCCCACGCUUUCGCUCCUCAGCGUCAGGAAUAUCCCAGAAAGUCGCCUUCGCCACUGGUAUUCCUCCCGAUAUCUACGCAUUUCACCGCUACACCGGGAAUUCUACUUUCCUCUGAUAUCCUCAAGAAACGCAGUAUCCGAGAAAGCCCCAAAGUUGAGCCUUGAGAUUUCCUCUCGGACUUACGCUCCCGCCUACGAGCUCUUUACGCCCAGUAAUUCCGGACAACGCUCGCUCCCUACGUCUUACCGCGGCUGCUGGCAC
rnacentral:rRNA from 1 species